rnacentral:tRNA from 1 species
GGUGGCUCAGUGGAAGAGUGCUUGCCUAGCAUGCAUGAAGCCCUGGGUUCAAUUCUCAGUACCA